AGGUAACCCAUCUCAAUAGUCUCCAAGAUUCAAGCUUUUCUAUGUUUUAUUUUAUCGUCCCAUUGAUUUAAACUCAACGCUUCCAUUAUUUCUUCGAAUCAUUUUUAUCAUUUUACAAGAUUAUCGUGCCUGGAUCUGAUUAGAAAGUUGGGUUUUUUUUAUCUGAAGUACAGUGCUGGUAUUGUUCAGUUAUCUAUUGUAUUAAUGUGGUUUUCGGGUUUGCUGUUUGGCACUUAAAUUCAUUGUUUUCAGUUGAAAGCUAGGAUCUUUGGGUGCAAAAUAUAUAUUUUUUUUGCAUUUGGGCAUAUAGCGUGGUUUUAAGAUAAGAAACAGCAGUAGUUUGUUUAGGGUUUCGAGAAUUAAUAGCUAUGGAUUGUUUUGAGGAAUUAUCUGCUUGGUACUUAAAUUCAUUGUGAGAGCUAGGAUCUUUGGGUGUUAACCUUGACUUUUAGAUAAACACAACAUUGGGUUUCUUAGAGUUUUGAGGAUUAAUAGCUAUGGAUGCUGUGGGGGAAUCAUCUGAAUCUGGUUCUGGAGUAUCCAGUUCCCAGUUGAUGAAAAAUGGGACUUUUCGUGAUGAGGAGAGUUGCCCUAAACAAGUAUCACCUAUUAGGGGUGGUGGGUCAAGGAAUACAAGCCCUUUGGGUCGUGUAGGGUCGAGGAACACUAGCCCCUCUAGGCAGAAGGUGAUAAAAACCAAACCACGGGGUUUAGAUGAGGAAACGGUUGCUACAUUUGGUAAGGCGGUUCAUCCUGAUGUUCAAAUGGAAGAUAACAUAUGGGCAAUGUUGCCUGAGGACUUAUUGAAUGAGAUUUUGGCAAGGGUUCCUCCAUUUAUGAUAUUUCGGCUUCGUUCAGUUUGUAAAAGAUGGAACUCAAUACUUCAAGAUAAUAGUUUUCUUAAGUUUCACUCACAAGUGCCAUCUCACGGGCCUUGUCUACUUACAUUUUGGAAGAACUCACAGACUCCACAAUGUUCUGUAUUUAGCUUGCCAUUAAAAACAUGGUAUAGAAUACCAUUCAAUUUUUUGCCUCAGUGGGCCUUCUGGUUGGUUGGCUCUUCAGGUGGUCUAGUUUGCUUUUCUGGACUUGAUGGUCUAACUUUCAAAACUUUAGUAUGUAAUCCUCUUACACAAACUUGGAGAACAUUGCCGAGCAUGAACUAUAACCAGCAAAGACAGUUGAUUAUGGUUGUGGAUCGAACAGACAAAUCGUUUAAAGUUAUAGCCACUAGUGAUAUUUAUGGUGAUAAGUCGCUGCCUACUGAAGUCUAUGAUUCGAAGAUUGAUAAGUGGACAGUCCACCAGAUAAUGCCUGCAGUUAAUCUUUGCUCCUCAAAGAUGGCAUAUUGUGACUCCAGGUUGUAUUUGGAAACCCUUUCACCACUUGGCUUGAUGAUGUAUCGGCUGGACUCAGGAUAUUGGGAGCAUAUCCCAGCAAAGUUCCCAAGAUCUUUGUUGGAUGGCUAUUUGGUUGCUGGGACACAGAAGCGCCUGUUUCUGGUUGGAAGAAUCGGUCUUUAUAGUACUCUACAGAGUAUGAGAAUUUGGGAAUUGGAUCAUGCUAAGAUUAUGUGGGUGGAGAUAAGUAGAAUGCCACCAAAGUAUUUUCGAACUUUGUUGAGGCUAUCAGCUGAGAGGUUUGAGUGCUUUGGACAGGAUAAUCUUAUAUGCUUCACAUCUUGGAACCAAGGGAAGGGCCUCCUUUAUGAUGUGGAUAAGAAGGUUUGGUCUUGGAUUGCUGGCUGUGCUCUUCAGUCAUACAAUAGUCAGGUUUGCUUCUAUGAGCCAAGAUUUGAUGCCUCUGUCCACUGAGCUGUAAAAUUUGCCUCAAGAUUUGUGGUCAUAAGCUGUUGAGAGGUCAACAUGUGGCAACAAAGUCCUCUUUCUUUGUAAGCAAGGGAUGAUAUCUUCUUUUACACCAUGCUUUUUCCCCUAUCCUGCACAUAUUUGACUGGAGUUACUCCUCACUUGUUGGUGGAUUAAGCAUCAAAUGGUCCUUGCUACUGCAUCAGCAUCUUGGGCAUAUCCCUUUGAAGCUGUUUCUAUCACCAAGAUUUUUUAGGCAAUUGGUGAUGUCAUUCCAUACUGGGACUUGAUGAUGCACAUUGACACUAGGCAGAGUUGUAUUUUGAUGACUAAAUGAGGGCUGGGCUUCUUGGGUGUAUAUCAUAAGACUGAUUUUUGGGCAAGAACUCUCCAAGAUGAUUCAACAUUAUGCUUUAUCCCUUUCCAUUAACCUUCAUAUUGAGAAAGCUUUGCCGAAACCUUCUAGAAUGUUCAGCCUAGCAAUUUUUUAAGAGUUUAUCUUUGACUAGCUGGAAAUGUUAAGGUGUUGUUCCCCUGAUAAAUGUUUGGAGAAUUUGUUCUGUAUGUUUUCUAGAGCAAAGUGUCUUUUCAUAAGUUCUAUAGUUACAAUGUGGAAGAAGUAAUCUGACUAAAAUCUUUUGUAGUUUUUGGGAAUCGCAUGUAAAGAUAUUUUAACUGG